UACCAGAGUACUAUGAAUGCUUAAAAAUUUAAAACUCAAAGAACUUGGCGGUGUUUUAGACCACCCAGGGGAACCUGUCUCGUAAUCGAUAAUCCACGUUACACCUGACCUCUUUUUGUUUUCAGUUUGUAUACCGUUGUCGUCAGGUAACUUUUUAGAAACUAGAAGUUAGCAAUUAAAAUAUUGAUAAUUUAAUAUGUCAAAUCAAGGUGCAGCUAAUAAAGGGGGGAGGAUGGGUUACAAUUAUAUAAUUUAUAAUGACGGAUAGAUAUAUGGAUAUAUAUUAAGUUAUAAGGAGGACUUGGAAGUAAAUUAAAGUAUAGAAAUAAUUUGAAUUAGGCUCUGAGACGUGU
rnacentral:rRNA from 1 species